rnacentral:lncRNA from 1 species
CGGGCGGCAGGGGCAGGCCGAACGUGCUCGUGUCGCCCACAGGUGGCAAGAAGAAGCCACUGAAACAGCCCAAGAAGCAGGCCAAGGAGAUGGACGAGGUGAGGGCGGGCGCGGAGGCACUGGCGGGUGCGGGGGCGCUGGGAGACAGGCCUGAGUUGAACACGCUCUGCCUCUCCCCAGGAAGAUAAGGCUUUCAAGCAGAAACAAAAAGAGGAGCAGAAGAAACUCGAGGAGCUAAAAGCGAAGGCCGCGGGGAAGGGGCCCUUGGCCACAGGUGGAAUUAAGAAAUCUGGCAAAAAGUAAGCUGUUCCUUGUGCCUGAGGAGAUGGUGACCCUUUAUUUCAUCUGUAUUUAAACCUCUCUAUUCCCUGCCAUAACAUCUUUUGCCACGUAUAGCUGGAAUUAAGUGUUGUCUUGGAGCUGUUGUACAUUUAAGAAUAAACUUUUGUAAAAAAAAAAAAAAAAAAUCUUACAGUGGCUCAUCAUCUCUUUAGUUGUUUUCACUAAGUCAUUCCUACCAUAACUGUGAAUUUAAAGUAAAACCAGCUCAGAAUCUUGCCAGAGUCUGUUCUUUGGUCCUUGUUCUACCCUAAACUUUGUAUCACCUGAAAUUAAACCAACUCAUUUGAAAGGAUGGCGUUCUUGUGUGGUUGUAUACCUGACAGAAUACCUUACAUGAGUUUAGUGGAAGAAUUUGCACUUUUUUUUGGUGGGGGAGGGGG